UUAAAUUGAAGAGUUUGAUCAUGGCUCAGAUUGAACGCUGGCGGCAGGCCUAACACAUGCAAGUCGAGCGGUAGCACAGAGAGCUUGCUCUCGGGUGACGAGCGGCGGACGGGUGAGUAAUGUCUGGGAA
rnacentral:rRNA from 2 species